GUGCAGACUCCUACGGGAGGCAGCAGUGGGGAAUAUUGGGCAAUGGAGGAAACUCUUACCCAGCAAUGCCGCGUGAAUGAAGAAGGUCUUCGGAUUGUAAAGUUCUUUAAUUGGGGACGAAAAAAAUGACGGUACCCAAGGAAUAAGCCCCGGCUAACUACGUGCCAGCAGCCGCGGUAAUACGUAGGGGGCAAGCGUUGUUCGGAAUGACUGGGCGUAAAGGGUGCGUAGGCGGGCGAGAAAGUUGAAUGUUAAAUCUACCGGCUUAACUGGUAGCUGCGUUCAAAACUUCUUGUCUUGAGUGAAGUAGAGGCAGACGGAAUUCCUAGUGUAGCGGUGAAAUGCGUAGAUAUUAGGAGGAACACCAGUGGCGAAGGCGGUCUGCUGGACAGCAACUGACGCUGAGGCGCGAAAGCGUGGGGAGCAAACAGGAUUAGAUACCCCUGUAC
rnacentral:rRNA from 1 species